UACGUAGGGUGCAAGCGUUUGUCCGGAAUUAUUGGGCGUAAAGGGCUCGUAGGCGGUCCAUCACGUCGGGAGUGAAAAGCUGGGGCUUAACCCCAGUCCUGCUUCCGAUACGGGUGGACUAGAGGUAGGCAGGGGAGAACGGAAUUCCUGGUGUAGCGGUGAAAUGCGCAGAUAUCAGGAGGAACACCGGUGGCGAAGGCGGUUCUCUGGGCCUUACCUGACGCUGAGGAGCGAAAGCGUGGGGAGCGAACAGG
rnacentral:rRNA from 1 species